CAGCAUGAGAGGGAGUUGGGAGGGGCGGCACCCCAAAAAGAAGGCGUGGGCGGAGCCUGGGCAGAUGGAACCCUAGCUGUAAUAUAAAGAAGCAUGAAGAACCUCGUGUGAAAUGAAACCUUGUUGGACACAUCAGUGCUCCAGCCUAGCCGCUCUGGGAGACGCGAUGAGAUGGUCAGGAGCUCGCAGCCCCACAGAACCAUCGUGAAGGUGACAGCCGCAGGUGGACAGGAAUGCGGAGCUCUGAGCCAGGACGCCACACCCCAACAGCGACACUGUCCAGAACGAUGAGGACGCUGCGCACCUGGUGGGAGGGGCUGAGCCCGGACGCUCACCCGAGGCUGUCUAACAUCCACCGAGUCUGCGCACGGCCUUCUCUCCUGUCGAUGAGAACUGGGCUGGCACCGGGGACCCAAAUACGAGAA